GAAGAAUGGACAUUAUGGGGGGCAACAAAGGAUACUGCCAGAGCUGCUGAGCCUGCCUCACCUCAUGCCGAGGGAGAGAGUCACACUCACAGAAUUCUGUGGUUGAAAGGAAACUGAGUGGGCAGUUGGUGCACUCCACCCUCAUAUGCCCUCAUCGCAGAGCACAGAACCUCUCAGGACACAUGCAAGACACGGAACUUGUGUGUGGUGCAUUUGCGCCCCAUUAGUGGAAUGUGCAUCUGACCAAUAUAUCUUGAACUUCUGCUACUGUACAGGUAAGUAACUUUGCAUUCCCAUCACUGUUACAAGUAUUUGUUGUGUCUUGUCUUAAAUGCAAUUUUAAACUCUGGGGUCGGGACCGUCUCUUCCUCUGUAUUUGUGCAGUUUCCAGCACAAUGGGGCAUUGUUCCUUACUGGGGCUGCUGGCUGCUAUUGUAAUCCCAGAAAAAAAUAACGUAGGUCUUCCAGCAUCCAGCUUUUGCCAGGCCAUUCUGCCUUGAAUGUCUGAAAGCUGCAUUUUUGCUGGUACUCUUCCCUGAUCAUCCUGACUUUCAAAUAUUUUAACUAUCUAUUUAUGCAGUCCUUCUUCUAAGAAGCUCCUUCUGGGAAUCUUUCUUGUGGAGAGUGCAGGAACAGAACAUGCUGUACAAACACAUGCAAAUGCCUUAUUGCCAAAUCUUUUGUGCCUAGUGGUUGGCAAGUGCCAACUGACAGGUAUUCACAAAUAUGCAAAACCAAUGCGGAUUCAAAAUGACUGGGGUAACUGUCAGCUGAGAUUGUGCUAUGCUGUAGGAAAUACAACUCCUGUCAGGCACAUUCAGCUGAGUAAUGCUUCGCACCCAGGGUGUCCCUUUACACUUUCUCCCUGAAAGGUAAAAGGGCCUGACAGGGGUUGGUCCAUUCCCAUGUGCAUGGGGUUGGAGACAAGAAGCCUAUGGCAUUCAUUGCCCUGGUAAGAGCCAGUCAGAAUUAAUAUCUCUGCACUGCAACCUCUGGGGACAAGAAAUUCCAAAGGGGGUUGGGAUUGAAGCAAGGGUCAUAACCUCCCCCACCAGGUUCCCCUCCUACCCUGCCUGUGGAAUAGACAGUGCACUGGAUAAUUCAAAUUCCAUCAUGCUAAUAUAGUGCAGCCUGCACCUGGUGCAGUCUUAAGUGAGCGCUAGGAAGCUAAGGGAUUGCCCAGUGCUCCUCAUGGGGCUGUGGGGCUCUGCAUUGAUGGGAACAGACAUAUUUAAACCCUCUGGGCUUGUUUCCUGGCCCCAGUAUAUAAAUAACUACCACUGAAGUAGCGUGUGUCAUCAUAACACCAGGAGAGCAGAAUCUGAAUGAAAAACAAUGGCAACUCCCUCCGUAGCAGUUCCCCAGCACAGAGCUGUCUCUCUCAGAUGCUCCUUCUCUCUUAGCUAGUUCUGUUUGAUCAGUUGCUAGGCAAAGGCAGGUGUGUCAGCUGAAGUAGUGGAAAUUUCUAUUCAUCUUAUAAAUAGUUGAACAGCCCAGCUUGGUGAAAUGUGAAACGAGCAAAUAUUCCAUCUUAUUCUUGUAGGGCAGAUCAGGAUUCAGUCUAUAGUGCUGUCAUGUCAACAGUGUCACCGCUGCUGUUCAUGAUGCCAUGGUGCUAUAAGUUAUUCAUGUGAACAUAGCAAACAAAGGUUUAGCUUAACCAAGCGAUGAACAUUUCUUUACCUGCAGCAUUCUCCCCCGUUAGAAGCAAAAGGCUCAGAGGUCACUUAAUCUAUGACAGAAAUCGAUUGCACAGUCUUUAGGGUUAGUAUGCUUUGCAAAUAGAGCAAUGUGUCUCUUACCAGUACUGAGUGCUUCAAGCACAGAGCUCCUCGGUAAUAGAGGAAAAUAUCACUAAAAGCCUAAUGCAACGUGACCAGUUUGUUUGAAAUUUGCUAGGGAAAAUUGUAAAUUUCCCUUAUGAUCAUGUUUAUACACUUGCCUAUUAACAGGCUUUUUCUUCUGCUCAUCCUAAUGCUUCUUGCCUCAGUACAUUGACCCUGGUUCUCUGGUGUCUUAAGACAGAUCCCCAUUAGAGGGUUUACUCACUGUGAGACUGUGAUGAGCUUUUCAUCUCUUUCUCACGGACGUAAACGUUUCUGCUCUUAAAAGGAAAUGACUUAAUAUGCUGACUGUAUUUCUAUAUAUCAGUCUAAAGAUAUGUUAAAUGCCGUUUAUUGUAGUUUCUCAGUUCUAAUUGGUUUAAAGGGUUUGUCUAACCCUGUGCUACUUACUGCCUGGAAAAGUGUGUCACUGGAUGACAUUUCAUGUACCUCAGAGAAGCAUCAUCAUCUAGUGGUCAGAGCAGGGGGCUGUGAAUGGGUCUAUUCUUAAUUCUGCCACUAAUCCUCUAGCUGCUGUGGCGGAAUCUUAAUGUUUCUGUCUCAAGUUCCCAUGUGAUAUGGGGACAAUAAUAAUAAAACUGUAAAGCACUUUGCAGUCACACUAGAUGAAAGAUGCUUCAUAAGUACAAGUUAUUAUUUUCCUUAUGUUAUUUAUUAUCAGGCAAUCUCUUGAUCUGAGAAUAAUCACACCUCAUCCAAUUGAAAGCAGAAAUACUACAACAAUGGGUGGCGUACACGUAGCUAGAUGCUACCCUCGGUGAUCAAAACAACAAUGAUUUAGCAAUAUCAACUAAAAACUGCCAACCAUCAUAAUAGUUUGGUGUGAAAAAGGAAAAGUGAUCCAUUUGUUUAAUUUUAAUUAACUGUUUUAUUAGUGAAUUACAAGCACCUCUGCAGCAACAGUGAAAACGUAAUGUCCCAGCCCAGAGCAGCAAUGUAUUGUUACAGAAGUGAGUUGUUGUAAGAAUACAUGGAGGAUGGGCUAGGGAGUCUACUGUGAUGAGGAAGUAAAAGAUAUAUGUGGAUGAAAAGCAUACAAUAUAAUAGAUUUUUAUUUCUCCAGUGCACUCUCCUGUGCUUUGUCUCAAUCUUUUGAGUCCACAGAAAAAAGCUAACUCCAUCCUUUGCACAUCAAUGAUUACACUCCAUGUCAGCUCUCUAAUGAUCUGCUGGAGGUUGCCGAAGGAUUGGAAUUAAUAUAAACAACAACACCCACUCUGCUUGGAUAUAGUGCUUUACACCUUCAAAGAGAGAUGUUAGCAUUAAUUAAGCCUCACAGAACCCCUGCAAGGCAGGUAAGUCUGUAGAGCAGCCAAGUGUGGUAGAUGUUGAAACAUGAAAACCUACAGUAUGAGAGGGAAGAAUAAACAAUUUAUAAGCACUUGUAGGUGAUGAAUCGUGAUGGUACAUCUCUAACUUGCAGCUCUCAUUUACUGUUCCUCCCCCACCCUCCGGCCCUUUGAAAGUUGUAGCAACAUCUUGUCUCACCUAUUGUACAAUUUCAUCUGUGCACUAGGGCUAGAUUUUGUAAACCUCAUUAAUUUUGCAUGAAUAGCCCCACUGAACUUAAUGAGACUACUUGAAUAAAUGCUCACCAACAUGAGCAGGGGUACACACACUAGUCCUUAGAAAGUGUGCCAAUUAGCCACAAAGCCUUGGGACGGCAUAACAAUGAAAUCACACUUUUAUAUAAAGCUACUGAAGUCCAUUUCCCUUGAAACUCCUUGUUUAUAACAUGUCAAAUGGUUAGCUACUCAGGACAGCCAGGACGUUGUAGAAUGAUAAUCUGGUAUAAAAUAGUAAACAAGGGCUCACCCAACAUACAGUUUCUGUACUUGUGAUUUUAAUGUUAUGUUCUUUACUAGCCUGUAAACCAAGAACUGUGCUCUUCAUUGCACAUAUUAAUGACCGAUGUGAUAUUUUUAUGCAAGUGUUAAUGUGGCAUUGUGUUACGUUGGCUCAUUUAGCCAUACAAAAGAAAAGUUAGUUGAAAGGUUUGCCUCAUCACCUGAGAUACUCCUUUGAGGAAUGGUGUGCAGAUUAGAGCUGCUGUUUGAAAUGGACCUAAAUCUUGGUGAGGCUUGGAAAAUGAAUUGUUACAAGGGAUUCAGUUUAACUAUUAGGUAAUAUGCAUCUUGCAGCAGGAAAAAGGAAAUUGUAAUUUCCUUAAAACUUCAAAGGAAGGAAGCUUUUUAAUAAAAAGCUGAUACAUACCUUUGCACAACACUACGGAUUUCAUCUCUUUUGCCAUCAUGUUACCUCAGAUCAAAGGAGAUAUGAGCUAUUCCUGAGGGAAGCCCUCUGCAACGGACACAUUUCUCCCAGGUGAAUGUCACAGGUAUACUGGCCCUAACAGAAAUGGAUACAGAUAUCAGGAAGCCUCCUCUCCAAGAUCUGAUAAGGUCAUUGUGUUUCCCCAAGUUUAGCCCUUAUAAAUGAAGAUAAGGUUAUAGAUCUCUUUGUAGGUGCCCUAUCAGGCAGAUAUUGUUUGACAGAGCUGGGCCAAUGCUCUAAAAAUUGUCUGUGACUACUCAUCUAAAUUUUAAAAAUAAAUUCUUUAACA